rnacentral:rRNA from 1 species
GAUGAACGCUGGCGGCGUGCCUAAUACAUGCAAGUCGAGCGAACAGACGAGGAGCUUGCUCCUCUGACGUUAGCGGCGGACGGGUGAGUAACACGUGGAUAACCUACCUAUAAGACUGGGAUAACUUCGGGAAACCGGAGCUAAUACCGGAUAAUAUAUUGAACCGCAUGGUUCAAUAGUGAAAGACGGUUUUGCUGUCACUUAUAGAUGGAUCCGCGCCGCAUUAGCUAGUUGGUAAGGUAACGGCUUACCAAGGCAACGAUGCGUAGCCGACCUGAGAGGGUGAUCGGCCACACGGGAACUGAGACACGGUCCAGACUCCUACGGGAGGCAGCAGUAGGGAAUCUUCCGCAAUGGUCGAAAGCCUGACGGAGCAACGCCGCGUGAGUGAUGAAGGUCUUCGGAGCGUAAAACUCUGUUAUUAGGGAAGAACAAAUGUGUAAGUAACUAUGCACGUCUUGACGGUACCUAAUCAGAAAGCCACGGCUAACUACGUG